CCUAAUACUGCAAGUCGAGCCGGACAGAUGGGAGCUUGCUCCCUGAUGUUAGCGGCGGACGGGUGAGUAACACGUGGGUAACCUGCCUGUAAGACUGGGAUAACUCCGGGAAACCGGGGCUAAUACCGGAUGGUUGUUUGAACCGCAUGGUUCAAACAUAAAAGGUGGCUUCGGCUACCACUUACAGAUGGACCCGCGGCGCAUUAGCUAGUUGGUGAGGUAACGGCUCACCAAGGCAACGAUGCGUAGCCGACCUGAGAGGGUGAUCGGCCACACUGGGACUGAGACACGGCCCAGACUCCUACGGGAGGCAGCAGUAGGGAAUCUUCCGCAAUGGACGAAAGUCUGACGGAGCAACGCCGCGUGAGUGAUGAAGGUUUUCGGAUCGUAAAGCUCUGUUGUUAGGGAAGAACAAGUACCGUUCGAAUAGGGCGGUACCUUGACGGUACCUAACCAGAAAGCCACGGCUAACUACGUGCCAGCAGCCGCGGUAAUACGUAGGUGGCAAGCGUUGUCCGGAAUUAUUGGGCGUAAAGGGCUCGCAGGCGGUUUCUUAAGUCUGAUGUGAAAGCCCCCGGCUCAACCGGGGAGGGUCAUUGGAAACUGGGGAACUUGAGUGCAGAAGAGGAGAGUGGAAUUCCACGUGUAGCGGUGAAAUGCGUAGAGAUGUGGAGGAACACCAGUGGCGAAGGCGACUCUCUGGUCUGUAACUGACGCUGACUGGCGCGU
rnacentral:rRNA from 1 species